rnacentral:rRNA from 1 species
GACGAACGCUGGCGGCGUGCUUAACACAUGCAAGUCGAACGCUGAAGCUCAGCUUUUGUUGGGUGGAUGAGUGGCGAACGGGUGAGUAACACGUGAGUAACCUGCCCCCCUCUUUGGGAUAACGCCCGGAAACGGGUGCUAAUACUGGAUAUUCACUGGUCUUCGCAUGGGGGUUGGUGGAAAGGGUUUUUCUGGUGGGGGAUGGGCUCGCGGCCUAUCAGCUUGUUGGUGGGGUGAUGGCCUACCAAGGCUUUGACGGGUAGCCGGCCUGAGAGGGUGACCGGUCACAUUGGGACUGAGAUACGGCCCAGACUCCUACGGGAGGCAGCAGUGGGGAAUAUUGCACAAUGGGCGCAAGCCUGAUGCAGCGACGCCGCGUGAGGGAUGGAGGCCUUCGGGUUGUGAACCUCUUUCGCUCAUGGUCAAGCCGCAACAAUGGUUGUGGUGAGGGUAGUGGGUAAAGAAGCGCCGGCUAACUACGUGCCAGCAGCCGCGGUAAUACGUAGGGCGCGAGCGUUGUCCGGAAUUAUUGGGCGUAAAGGGCUUGUAGGCGGUUGGUCGCGUCUGCCGUGAAAUCCUCUGGCUUAACUGGGGGCGUGCGGUGGGUACGGGCUGACUUGAGUGCGGUAGGGGAGACUGGAACUCCUGGUGUAGCGGUGGAAUGCGCAGAUAUCAGGAAGAACACCGGUGGCGAAGGCGGGUCUCUGGGCCGUUACUGACGCUGAGGAGCGAAAGCGUGGGGAGCGAACAGG